AAAAAAAAAGAAGAAUGCUAAGAUAAACUAAGACCAGACGAUAGACUCUUCGAAACGGCGGAAAGAAGCAUUACUCGUUGCCUCUGCGGAAAACCGAGCUUGAAAUUUGAAUUGAAACAUCUUAAUACCAAGUAAAAAUCAAACGAGAUUCCGAGAGUAGUGGCGAGCGAAAUUGGAGUUGUAUAAAAGGUGAUCAUAGAUCUAGACUAAACGUUAGUUUAUACUGAUAGUGAGAGUACUGUAAAGGAAAGUUGAAAGAGAGUUGAAAAGAGCAGGAAUCUUUUUUUUUUAAGCAGCUUUAAAACAGCGUACCUUUUGUAUAAUGGGUGAAAGAGAUUAAUUUGGCGUAUUUAAAAAAAGGAAAAUUAAAAGAGAUUUUUUUUAGUCAAAAAUACCCGAAACCAAGUGAUUUAAUCAUGGAUAGUAAAUUAGAACGAACUGGUGGUUGUGGCAAAACUCUCAGAUAAUCUGUGAUUAGGGGUGAAAAACUAAUCGAACUUGGACAGAGCUGGUUUUUUGCGAAAACUAUUUAAGUAGUGCGCUUUUUAUUCUAUUUUUUUUGUAAUAAAAUAAAUAAUAAAAUAAAAAAAAAGUAGACAAACAAGAAAUGAAAAGAUUUUUUGUUAAAAGAGAAAGCUCCAAUCAGAAGUUAAGGUCAUUUAUUUCUUUUUAGUGUAAAAAAAAAUAGUCGGUUUAGACAAUAAAAAAGUAGGCUUGGAGCCAGCCAUCUUUUAAAAAGUGCGUAGUUGUUUAUUUAAUAAAUUAAAUUUUUUUUUAAUUUUGGUGGUUAAAAUGAAACUAAAACUCUGAAAAUAUAAUUAUUUAGUAGCAAAAUACACUGUUUUUCAGUAGAAACAAUUUUUACAUGAGUAAUCUAAAUAUUAUUUUUUUUUCUUUAUAUUACCAUUUUUGGGUUAUACAGACCCUAAGAACUUUUUUCUAUGGGAAUUUUUAAAAAAUAUAUUAUAUCCGGAAAAAAUAAAAAAAGGAGCUGUUUUUCUAACUAAAGAAAGAAAAAAAAAAGAGACACAUUUUUUUAAGGAACUCGGCAAAAGAGAACUUCGACUGUUUACCAAAAACAUAGCUUUUUGAUUUUUAUAAAAGGGUGAGACCUGCCCUAUGGUUGUAUCUAAAAAAGUUUGUUUUGCUUACUAAUAAAGACAACUAAAUGGCUGCGG
rnacentral:rRNA from 1 species